GCAGGCUCGCGCUUGAAUACAUUAGCAUGGAAUAAUGAAAUAGGACGUUCGAUCCUAUUUGUUGGUUUCUAGGAUUGACGUAAUGAUUAAUAGGGAUAGUUGGGGGCAUUAGUAUUCAAUUGUCAGAGGUGAAAUUCUUGGAUUUAUUGAAGACUAACUACUGCGAAAGCAUUUGCCAAGGAUGUUUUCAUUAAUCAAGAACGAAAGUUAGGGGAUCGAAGACGAUCAGAUACCGUCGUAGUCUUAACCAUAAACUAUGCCGACCAGGGAUCAGCGGGUGUUACUAAUAGGACCCCGCUGGCACCUUAUGAGAAAUCAAAGUCUUUGGGUUCCGGGGGGAGUAUGGUCGCAAGGCUGAAACUUAAAGGAAUUGACGGAAGGGCACCACCAGGUGUGGAGCCUGCG
rnacentral:rRNA from 1 species